UACGGAGGGUGCGAGCGUUGUUCGGAAUCACUGGGCUUAAAGGGCGCGUAGGCGGACUGCCAAGUCCGGGGUGAAAUCCUCCGGCUUAACCGGAGAAUUGCCUGGGAUACUGGCGGUCUUGAGGGAGGUAGGGGCACGCGGAACUUCCGGUGGAGCGGUGAAAUGCGUUGAUAUCGGAAGGAGCGCCGGUGGCGAAAGCGGCGUGCUGGCCCUCUUCUGACGCUGAGGCGCGAAAGCCAGGGGAGCGAACGGG
rnacentral:rRNA from 1 species